UACGUAGGGUGCGAGCGUUUAAUCGGAAUUACUGGGCGUAAAGGGUGCGCAGGCGGCUCCGCAUGUCGGGCGUGAAAGCCCCGGGCUCAACCUGGGAAUGGCCGUUGAAACUGGCGAACUGGAGUGUGGCAGAGGGGGGUGGAAGUUCCGCGUGUAGCAGUGAAAUGCGUAGAGAUGCGGAGGAACACCGAUGGCGAAGGCAGCCCCCUGGGCCAAUACUGACGCUCAGGCACGAAAGCGUGGGGAGCGAACAGG
rnacentral:rRNA from 1 species